GAGGAUAUGUGCCUCGGGGUAUAGAUGAGAGAGAAUUAGUAUCAGCAAUAGUUGAUGUUCAAACCAUUGCAAAUAGUGGCUUGGAAUUGGCUCGAGCAGGGAAUAUAGAAUUAAAUAUAAAAUUUACAUAUUGUAAUUUGAAUUUUAAAGUAAUUUUUGCAUUUCGGAUUUUUUUGAAUUAUCUCUCGCAGGUACAUAUCCCGAAGCACAGAAACAUGCAUCAAUAUAUCAGUCGAUAAUGCAGAGGCUUCACCAAGCCUUACAUCGAACUCAUGAAGACCUUCAUGAUGGACGAGAAGUACCUCAAUUAGUAUACACACGUCAACAACGACACAGACGAGGACGACGCAGAAACGACAAUGAAGCUGGGCCUUCCCAACGUGUUGACGAUGGAGCUGGACCGUCACAACCACAAACGCAACCGGAUCAUGAACUCAUCGAAGGUCGGGAUAGAGGAGGCCGAAGACAAAGGAGGAGGAGAAGAGUUCUUGGAUGUAUGUAAGCUAAUUGGUAUUGUUAUAUAAAUUACAAUCCUAUUUUGAUAUGUACAUUACAAACGUAUUUCGGGACAAUAGAUGGUUUUUGGAUUUGUAGCUGAGAUUGUGGUGUGACUUAUUAGAUUUGUAAGUGGGUUUGUGGCGUGAUUUGUUGGAUU